UCAUUUUUUCCUUAAAUCUAAUGAAGACUUGUCUGAGCAAUUGUCAUUAGCCUCAAAUAAUUGGAUAACUGCCAACUUUGUUAUGCAACAACUUUCACAUGGUUUUACCAAAGUCUUCAAUGGAGUAUAUAGACAUUCUUCUCUCUUUGUGAACAACACACAACCAAAAUUCAUAUCCAAGAAACAAUUCUUCCAUCUGAUACACAAAAACACAACUUCAAGAAAACAUUAUAUUCCCUAAUGUACC
rnacentral:lncRNA from 1 species